UGUGUGUUAGUGGAAGCGUCUGGAAAGGCGCGCGAUACAGGGUGACAGCCCCGUACACAAAAAUGCACAUGCUGUGAGCUCGAUGAGUAGGGCGGGACACGUGGUAUCCUGUCUGAAUAUGGGGGGACCAUCCUCCAAGGCUAAAUACUCCUGACUGACCGAUAGUGAACCAGUACCGUGAGGGAAAGGCGAAAAGAACCCCGGCGAGGGGAGUGAAAAAGAACCUGAAACCGUGUACGUACAAGCAGUGGGAGCCUCUUUUAUGGGGUGACUGCGUACCUUUUGUAUAAUGGGUCAGCGACUUAUAUUCUGUAGCAAGGUUAACCGAAUAGGGGAGCCGAAGGGAAACCGAGUCUUAACUGGGCGUUAAGUUGCAGGGUAUAGACCCGAAACCCGGUGAUCUAGCCAUGGGCAGGUUGAAGGUUGGGUAACACUAACUGGAGGACCGAACCGACUAAUGUUGAAAAAUUAGCGGAUGACUUGUGGCUGGGGGUGAAAGGCCAAUCAAACCGGGAGAUAGCUGGUUCU
rnacentral:rRNA from 1 species